CCUCCUGUCACCACCUCGCCGCCACCCUCUCGUCUCUCUUCCCGGUACCCGGCAGACGAACGAGAGGAAGGUGAGGUCGCCGCUGAUUGGCUGCCCGCGGGGCGAAGGAAGAUGGCUCCUGAUUGGCUGAGGGCCCACGAAGGGCAGUUGAGACAUUGCGACUCCGAGCAGGCACGGGCAAGACCAAGACGGCAGCUGCCAAGACGCUCAAGAAUUCCCAUUCCCAUGCCUCCU